GGCAAGUCUUUAUCUAACAUCACAAGGAUCUCUCGCCCAAUGAGUGGAGUUUGAUAGUAAUUCUCGCU
rnacentral:snoRNA from 1 species